AGAUUGAACGCUGGCGGCAUGCUUUACACAUGCAAGUCGAACGGCAGCACGGGGGCAACCCUGGUGGCGAGUGGCGAACGGGUGAGUAAUGCAUCGGAACGUAUCUUUAAGUGGGGGGAUAACGCAUCGAAAGAUGCGCUAAUACCGCAUAAUCUCUGAGGAGAAAAGCAGGGGAUCGCAAGACCUUGCGCUUUUGGAGCGGCCGAUGUCUGAUUAGCUAGUUGGUGGGGUAAAGGCUUACCGAGGCUUCGAUCAGUAGCUGGUCUGAGAGGAUGACCAGCCACACUGGGACUGAGACACGGCCCAGACCUCCGUACGGGAGGCAGCAGGUGGGAAGUUUUGGACAAGUACGGGGGAAACCCUGACUCCGACGCCAUGCCGCGUGAGUGAAGAGGCCGUUCGGUUGUAA
rnacentral:rRNA from 1 species